AUUGAACGCUGGCGGCAGGCUUAACACAUGCAAGUCGAGCGGAGCGAGGGUGCUUGCACCUUAGCUUAGCGGCGGACGGGUGAGUAAUGCUUAGGAAUCUGCCUAUUAGUGGGGGACAACAUUCCGAAAGGAAUGCUAAUACCGCAUACGUCCUACGGGGGAAAGCAGGGGAUCUUCGGCCCUUGCGCUAAUAGAUGAGCCUACGGCGGAGUAGCUAGUUGGGGGGGUAAAGGCCUAACAAGGCGACGAUCUGUAGCGGGUCUGAGAGGAUGAUCCGCCACACUUGGACUGAGACACGGCCCAGACUCCUACGGGAGGCAGCAGUGGGGAAUAUUGGACAAUGGGCGGAAGCCUGAUCCAGCCAUGCCGCGUGUGUGAAGAAGGCCUUUUGGUUGUAAAGCACUUUAAGCGAGGAGGAGGCUACUAGUAUUAAUACUACUGGAUAGUGGACGUUACUCGCAGAAUAAGCACCGGCUAACUCUGUGCCAGCCGCCGCAGUAAUAC
rnacentral:rRNA from 1 species